CGCAACCGCAACACAUAGCCCGCACAUGGCCGGGCGUCCGCAGUACCCGUCACACACAGCCCCACCUUCUCCUCAACCUCAACUCAGAAGGAACUGCCGAUCUAUCCGCCACCAGCCCGCCGCCCCUCCCCAUAUCCUGCAGUACCCGUAUCCCGCCGCCACCGUGAGAGCAGCAAGGGGCAGCGCCAUAGCCAAAGCCGGCUGCCUUCCUCGACUCCACCGUCGAGGCUACCGCCGUGACUCCGUGGGGCGGUUCAGCGCCGUGUCGGCCUCCUUCCUAUCCUGCCGGGCCCCGCUGGUCGGUCUCCUCCUGGACGAGCUCUCCGACGAGGCCGCACCUCCUCCUCGUCCGGCGCGGGCGGCAGCGGGGGCUUAUCCUACGGAGGGAACACCAUAUUGCACUCUAUUCUCCACACACACGUUGUGGUUCUGCUGGGACUCUUCUACCUCCGCUCCAGGUUCAGGUCGCCGGCCACGCGACCGCAGAGGAGCUGCUCCAGAUUCGACUGCAAGAUCAAGCUUCAUAUGUUAGGCGCAAGGUAUCAUGUAUUCGUGUAAUGCAAUAUAUGUACGCAGGUGAGGUCCAUCUUUGCUCAUCCCCAAUUUCACUAGGGAAGCCAACAUACAGCUUCUGGUAAUCCAAUACCUACCAAUUAUUUUGGAUCUCCAGUAUGAAGGCCUUCCAAUUAACACUUCCGUUUUUGUUCUACCAAAUAGUAAAAAAAAUACUCUAUUAUACAUCAAGUUAUAUGACGUGCAGAUGGGAACUUUGAUGAAUAGAUACACAGAUCCAACUAAUGAUCCAUUAUCAGUGCACACCAUCAGUUUGAUGAAUUGUUUGACCAAACUGCAUCGAUUAAGAAAAGCUUGCCUAGACAUCUGUUGCAGCAUUGGCCAGGACUCUAUGCUCAGCUCUGCUGCCAACAAGUUAGUACAUCUAAUGUCCGUGGAGACUACAAGAGAAGAAUUUACAUCCAGACUGAAAUCAAUAGUGGGAAAGUUCAGUAAGAUAUAUACAAUCUCGACACCCAUGGUUUCUCCAGUUAUUGCGUAGUCUUUGUUUCUUACUUCUCUAUGCAACCAACUUCGGCUUACAAAAGGUAAUAUUUUGUAUAGACCAUAGUAACAACUUAUUAUUUAGUUGUUGCUUGGUGUUUGUGGCCCACAACCAAUUUCUGGAGAUUAAAAGUACCAUAGCAUUAUACAUAUUGUAGUCAUGCACUAUUUAUGGUGUGACAAUCCAUGUAAAUAGG